UCCUGUUUGAUUGGUCUAUUCUAUGAACUUCUAAGUAUCUCAAUUGUUUUAAAAAUUCUUUUACUAAUUUUGCUUGUUAAAUUUUUAAUUGUUUAGUACUUUUCUAAUAUAUUGGUGGGUGGAGCCCUUCCUCAAAAAAAAAAGAAGAAAAAGGAUAUAGGCAAUAUUUAAAGCCCCUCCUAAGUGAUAUUUGAUACUCUAAUAUGUAUAUCGUGUCAUGGUGUUAUUUACAAAUGCAGUUACAUUUUAGUUCAGAAUCUUAAGGCAUUAAGAAUUAGUAACAAAAGUUGGCUAUGCGCUAUAUUGAUAACAAGCAAAUUCUUCAGGCCCAAUGAAUAGCUCUAAGCAUGGGAUGCCGGUGUCUCGAAUAUGAAAAAUCCUAGUUCUAACUUGGCUAUGAUGAGAAAUGGGUAAGGUUUGUUAGAUUGUUGCCUAUAACUGAAAUACCUUAGUCAUGGUAAGAAAUAGGCAAGAAUUGGCCAAGUUAUUGUCCACAAAUAUGGAUGCCGCUACUAACUUGUGUAGCAACAUAUUGAUAAAAAACUGAUUACGAUGAUUAAUUAACUAAAGUGGAGGUGAGUGUAAAAGUAAGUUUUGGUUGCUAGUGUAGGUGCAGGAAAGUGGGCUUCUCAAAAAUCCAAUACACUGAAAGAGAGGAGCAAAGAAUCUACAUAGAUUCUAAUGCAAGAAGGAUUCAUAUUAGCCUGGGGAGUCCAGGCACCCCUGAUUCAGCCAUAUUGUAAGUGGAUUGGGCCAAUAUGAGCUAGCUGGUUGGUCCAUGGUUCACCAUACGGACAGCACCAGUCGGUACCAAUCUGGAUAAAAUUUUUAUGGUCGGAUCGAUCAUGCAAGGAAUUAUGGUCGGGCCGUCAUCGUUUGUCACAUCUCCAAAGAACAGCGCGCUUACACGCGUGCGUUAAAAUACUAAGAAAAUAUGAAUGGAUAAAUUCAAGGGGGUUAUGUGAUGUUUAUCAAAACUGUUUAAAUAUCCUUAAAAUUUAUCCAUUCCUAUUUUCUUAGUACGCGCAUGCGGCGUGCUUCAGAGAGGUGGCAGGUGACGGCCCGAGCAUAGUUCCUUCUAUGGUUAGUCCGAUGAUAGAAGUUUUAUCCGUACCAACCUACCAGAUAAACUGUAUCAUGCCAACAACUAACCGAUACUCUUUAUAAAGGAUUGCUAUACUGAACUGACUCCAUUGACACCAUAUUAGGUAUGAUAACUAUACAGGGGUAUUUGGUAUGGGAUGAUCUAUCUAAGAUCAAGAGUGAUGUGAGUGGAGGUAAUAAGAUCAUCGCAUUUGGUUGCACCAUAAUGAUCGUACAUGACAGUGAUUUCAAAUCAACCCCCUCCUCAAAUCACUUUUCAAUCCAGUGAUGGAAUACCCAUCAUCGAGGUCAUGAAUUCAAGAUCAGCCUCAGACAAUGAUCUUGGAUUGAAAUAUAAAAAUAAAAAUAUUUCUCAAUCUAGUA
rnacentral:lncRNA from 1 species